UUUCCGUAGGUGAACCUGCGGAAGGAUCAUUAUUGAAUAAACCUGAUGUGGUUGUAGCUGGCCCUUUCGGGAGCAUGUGCACACCCGUCGUCUUUAUCUUUCCACCUGUGCACCUUUUGUAGACCUGGAUGUAACACUUUCCGAGGCAACUCGGUCGGGAGGAAUGCUGUCAGCUUUCCUUGAAUGUCCAGGCCUAUGUUUUCAUAUACCCCGAAGAAUGUAACAGAAUGUAUUAUUGGGCCUUGUGCCUAUAAACUAUAUACAACUUUCAGCAACGGAUCUCUUGGCUCUC
rnacentral:misc_RNA from 1 species